CCGGGACGCACAGCACAGCCUGACCCCCACCGGGACGCGCAGCACAGCCUGACCCCCACCGGGACGCACAGCACAGCCUGACCCCCACCGGGACGCGCAGCACAGCCUGACCCCCACCGGGACGCGCAGCACAGCCUGACCCCCACCGGGACGCGCAGCACAGCCUGACCCCCACCGGGACGCGCAGCACAGCCUGACCCCCACCGGACGUGCAGAGCUCCGCAGCGGCGUCUUCCCCGGGCGGGAAUCCCCAACUGCAGGGCUCGAAGCUUUGCUUUUUACAAAUGCUGGCCAAAGCCCGGAGAAUGUGGGAAUGGAGCCAUCUGGUGGACAAAGGAGGGAACUUUGGGAACCCAGCUAAGAAUGCUUCCCCUGGAGGCCGGAAACUUCCUGGCAACCAGAGUAAUUAUGUGAAAUGUAUGUCUUUUUAAAAUAGUUGCGCUGGUGGCGGAGUGGGGGAGCUGGAGAAAUAGCUUAGUGGUUAAGAACAAUAGCUGAUCUUCCGGAAGUCCUGAGUUCAAAUCCCAGCAACGACAUGAUUGCUUUAAAGCGAUCUAGUGCCCUCUUCCCGCCUGCAGGGACACAGGCCGACAAAACCCUGCAUGCAUAAUAAAUUUAAAAACUAAAAUGGUUGGGCUGGCGAGUUGGCUCAGUAGUUAAAAGCACUGGCUGCUCUUCCAAAGUACCGGCGUUCAAUUCCCAGCACCCACAUGGCAGCUCAGGAAGUUCCAAGGGAUCUGGCACCCUCACACAGACAUGCAUACAGGCAAAAACACCAGUGCACACAAAAUUUAAAUAAAUAAAUAAAUAAAUAAAUACUUGCUGUGGUUUUUACUUCUUGUCUUACCCACUAGGAUCUGUGAAGACAGAAACCUCUCUUGUUCAGAGCAGGAGGGUGGAACACAUGGUAGAUGCUGGGUAAAUAAUACCGGCUGUUAUUAACAUCAACACUGUCUUUAGCUCAAACCUGAGUCUCCCCCACAAAGUAAGGAUUCUCUUAGGAGCCAGAAAAUAUGUCUGCCCCAACUUCUGGAUCAGACCCAGGACGCUAAGACCCAAAGUGAAGAAGUUCAGGCAGCAGC
rnacentral:lncRNA from 1 species